AUGUAUCAUAUAGGUCGACACAUACUGAGAAAGAUUUCUAAAAUUGAAGAAAUUCUUAUUUUAUGUGUCGACACAUCCAUAUUUCAGAUCGACUCAUUUACUCACGUUUUAAACCAUGUAGCUACUUACUUGCUCAGGUCGACACAUAAAGUCUUUCAGGUCGACACAUGCAGCUUUUUUAUACAAUAUGUGUCGACAUAUACGAGUUUGAGAUCGACACAUAAAUUCUGUUUUGGUCAAAUUUUCAUUUUCUUUUAUUUCGAAUUUAUCCUUUUUACCCUAAACUUUUCCAAACUAUAA